rnacentral:rRNA from 1 species
CGCGUAGGCGGCUUGCCAAGUCAGGGGUGAAAUCCUGCAGCUCAACUGUAGAAGUGCCUUUGAUACUGGCGAGCUCGAGGGAGGUAGGGGUGGGUGGAACUUCUGGUGGAGCGGUGAAAUGCGUUGAUAUCAGAAGGAACGCCGGUGGCGAAAGCGACCCACUGGAUCUCUACUGACGCUGAGGCGCGAAGCUAGGGGAGCAAACG